rnacentral:lncRNA from 1 species
UGCAUCUGGAUGUGUCUGAGAUGAUAGGAAAAAUGAGGAACAAGAAAUCAUGCUAAUAGGAACUGAUAUUUUAGUAAGACAAUUACAAGAGAGCCCAGUUCAAAUCUGGUUCCCGGCAAUUCAUUUGUAUGAGUAUCUAUUCCCCUAUUUCUUUUAAUAAAAUGGGGAAUAGAUACAUAUUUCUUAGUGGUCUUAAUCAUCCUAGAUAAUUUAUCUAGGCGUGCGGAGAUAUGCUCUUUCUAGAUAAAAAAUGAAUAGAUGUAUAUUCUAGGUA